rnacentral:lncRNA from 1 species
AUCAAAGAGAACCUUUACUUGUUUGUAUCUGAAUGUUUAUAAUGAGCACAUUAAUGGCUACUCGUGUAAUUAGAAAAAAAAUAGAAGAAACUACAAACAACAGCAAUGAAACUUGAGAGGCUUCUGAUGUAGCCAGGUUGUACUAGCCCUUGCACUGUCACUUAAAAACUGGCAGAGUCAACCUUGAAGGCUUCUAAUAGCACUGAUCUUCAGUGACUGGUUUGCAUGUCAAGGAUAGCUGAAGGUGGAUAAAAACUUCUCAGGCAGACACAUAAUUACCUGAAUUCAGGGACCUGCGUUAGAAUUAUGUAUGUCACUUUGCAAGCAUAAUCACAGGCCCCAGGCUUUGAGCUGCUGAGAAUCUCCCACAAGCUCUGCAUUAGGCUGACACUCCCCAGGAGGAUAUAAGAACUGCCAAUUACACAGAGAGCUACGUUCUGUAGUAUCUUGACAGUCUCCACUCUUUCUCUUUCCUCCUCCUGCUAUGAGGCUCCAGGUUUAUUCCCCAGUAAUUGGGGGCCACUCCUGGGUCCCUCUGCCUCAGGAGUCUUCUCUCCUGGCUGUGGCCCAAUUAAGCCACAGUUGAGCUGCUCAGAAGUGAGAAUUCCUGGGAGGCUUGUUAAGUUCAGUGCUUCCGAAAAUGGAAGGAACAUCAUUAAGAACUUCAGCUUAACAGGCAGCUGGGCCAACACCAGCUGCAAAGCAGAAAAAGUGUAAGUGACUCAGUAUCCCUCAGAGGCAUCUGAAAAAACUUGUUUUAACUUUUACCUAAUUCUAUCCCAAGUGUGUACACUAGCUACGAAGCACAUACCCAAGACACCUCCAUUUUCACCACCACUAUCACUCUGUUAUUUUCAUCAUACAUCAUUACAACCUCAUCACCCAUCAGUAUUCUCAUCAUCGCUUUGCUUCACCGUCAUCCCAGAACUAUGGUCCUUUUCCUAUUACAUUAUCAUUCUCAGUAUUAUCACCAACUCAUCAUUUAACCAUUAUUAUCACCAUCAUCAGUAUUAUCAUCACCCCAUUAUCAUUGCAAACACCAUCAUUCAGCUGCACCAUUUUACCACUCCCAUGGCCACAACCAUA